AAAUUGGACUAUGUUUAAGCUAUAAUAUUUUAUUAUCCUUUUAUUUUUUAUAGUGUAUUCGGCUGCUGGUGUUGGUUACAGUUCACAUCUCUACAGGUUUGGUUUAGCUUCAGUAAGUAGAUAAUUCUCUCUUUUCAUACUGAAACAGUUAUUCCUACAACAGAAACAGAACUCAUUGUUUCCUCCCUAGGACGUCUCAAACGAAGCACAGCAGAGAGAUCUCACCAUGCCUCCUACCUGGUUUGAUGUUGACCAUUAUUAUGGGCCACCUGGACAUGCUGAUUGGUCAGACACGGUCAGACUGUCCAUCUUCCUUGUUUAUAGUGAGUGUGUGGGACUGCCAGCUCUGGGUUGGGCUUUUCGUGUUCUCUACCGUCAUCAGAAAAACGAGGGAAGACGUUUGGACGUUGCCUCUCUUCUCCUCCACAACAACAUAGUAGAACUACUUCUGAAUCUGUUCAUCAUUACUGCGCUACUUCAGUAUGACAUUUGUAUUCCAAUUGGGGUAAUAUGUCGCAUAUUUACAUCUUUUUGGUGGGGAUCAAGAAUGUGCGGUGUUCUCCUUCAGCAGAUGGUCGUGUUGAAGAGAAUUCUUGGUUUAAGACAUCCGUUCUGCUCUGCUCAUGUUUUCUUUCCUCGCAGCUCCAUCAUAGUUUAUCUCAUUGUGUUCAUAUUUCUUUUUCUGUGUGAAUUACCUGCACCGCGACGACAUCUACUAAUCAGUGUGAUGUCACUGCUACCAGUGUUAGCCGUGACGAUCACCUCAUGGAUAUUCACCCGCACAAUGCCCCCCAUUAAACACCACAGCUCCAACAGAGCCGAGAAUCAGGACUACACAGUGUUGGCUUUCUCCACGCUCACAGCGGCUCUGUAUACGAUUAGUGUUGUUCUGUGCGGUUUGGAGAUUUGGAGUCUGUGGAUGAUGAGUUUGUGUCUGUUGAGUUUGAGAGUGAUCACAGACGCCCCGCUGUGUGUUCUGAUCUGCAGAGAGAAACACUCACAGACUCACACAGACCCCAGUNNNNNNNNNNNNNNNN
rnacentral:lncRNA from 1 species